GGGGACGACAGGCUUCGACGUGGUCGGUUCGUGGGGGUGGUUGCGAGUCGAGGUCCCGGGCGGCCUCGUAAAACUCCCGGGAAAAAAAUAAGUGCGGACUCUCACGAGUUCGCGCUCGCCGCU
rnacentral:tmRNA from 1 species